rnacentral:tRNA from 1 species
GGAGUGGAGCAGUUGGCAGCUCGUCGGGCUCAUAACCCGAAGGUCGUAGGUUCAAGUCCUGCCUCCGCAACCA